GACGAACGCUGGCGGCGUGCUUAACACAUGCAAGUCGAACGGAAAGGCCCUGCUUUUGUGGGGUGCUCGAGUGGCGAACGGGUGAGUAACACGUGAGUAACCUGCCCUUGACUUUGGGAUAACUUCAGGAAACUGGGGCUAAUACCGGAUAGGAGCUCCUGCUGCAUGGUGGGGGUUGGAAAGUUUCGGCGGUUGGGGAUGGGCUCGCGGCUUAUCAGCUUGUUGGUGGGGUAGUGGCUUACCAAGGCUUUGACGGGUAGCCGGCCUGAGAGGGUGACCGGCCACAUUGGGACUGAGAUACGGCCCAGACUCCUACGGGAGGCAGCAGUGGGGAAUAUUGCACAAUGGGCGGAAGCCUGAUGCAGCAACGCCGCGUGCGGGGUGACGGCCUUCGGGUUGCAAACCGCUUUCGCCUGUGACGAAGCGUGAGUGACGGUAAUGGGUAAAGAAGCACCGGCUAACUACGUG
rnacentral:rRNA from 1 species